rnacentral:rRNA from 1 species
AUUGAACGCUGGCGGCAUGCUUUACACAUGCAAGUCGAACGGCAGCGCGGGCUUCGGCCUGGCGGCGAGUGGCGAACGGGUGAGUAAUGCAUCGGAACGUGCCCAGUAGUGGGGGAUAGCCCGGCGAAAGCCGGAUUAAUACCGCAUACGACCUGAGGGUGAAAGCGGGGGACCGAAAGGCCUCGCGCUAUUGGAGCGGCCGAUGUCGGAUUAGCUAGUUGGUGGGGUAAAGGCUUACCAAGGCGACGAUCCGUAGCUGGUCUGAGAGGACGACCAGCCACACUGGGACUGAGACACGGCCCAGACUCCUACGGGAGGCAGCAGUAGGGAAUUUUGGACAAUGGGGGCAACCCUGAUCCAGCCAUGCCGCGUGCGGGAAGAAGGCCUUCGGGCUGUAAACCGCUUUUGUUCGGGAAGAAAUCCUCUGGGCUAAUACCCCGGGGGGAUGACGGUACCGGAAGAAUAAGCACCGGCUAACUACGUG